UCCUUCAAGCCAAUAGCCCUGAACACACCAAUCUCAUCUGAUCUGGGAAGCUAAGCAGGGUCAGACCUGGUGAGUAUUUGGACAGAAGAAACUCUUUCAAGGUC
rnacentral:rRNA from 1 species